GACGAACGCUGGCGGCGUGCUUAACACAUGCAAGUCGAGCGGUAAGGCCCCUUCGGGGGUACACGAGCGGCGAACGGGUGAGUAACACGUGAGCAAUCUGCCCAUCACAUCGGGAUAACUCCGGGAAACCGAAGCUAAUACCGAAUACGACCACCUCCGGCAUCGGAUGGAGGUGGAAAGUCUCGGCGGCGUUGGAUGAGCUCGCGGCCUAUCAGCUUGUUGGUGGAGUAACGGCCCACCAAGGCUUCGACGGGUAGCCGGCCUGUGAGGGUGACCGGCCACACUGGGACUGAGAGACGGACCAGACGCCAACGGGAGGCAACAGUGGGAAAUAUUAGACAGUGAGCGAGAGCCUGAGACAGCAACGCCGCGUGUGGGAUGACGGCCUGCGGGUUGUGAACCGCUUUCGGCAGGGACGAAGCGCAAGUGACGGUACCUGCAGAAGAAGCACCGGCCAACUACGUG
rnacentral:rRNA from 1 species